rnacentral:rRNA from 1 species
GUGGCGGACGGGUGAGUAGUGUCUGGGAAACUGCCUGAUGGAGGGGGAUAACUACUGGAAACGGUAUCUAAUACCGCAUAACCUCGCAAGAGCAAAGUGGGGGACCUUCGGGCCUCACGCCAUCGGAUGUGCCCAGAUGGGAUUAGCUUGUAGGUGAGGUAACGGCUCACCUAGGCGACAAUCCCUAGCUGGUCUGAGAGGAUGACCACCCACACUGGAACUGAGACACGGUCCACACUCCUACGGGAGGCAGCAGUGGGGAAUAUUGCACAGUGGGCGCAAGCCUGAUGCACCCAUGCCGCGUGUAUGAAAAAGGCCUUCGGGUUGUAAAGUACUUUCAGCGGGGAGGAAGGCGUUGAGGUUAAUAACCUCAGCGAUUGACGUUACCCGCAAAAGAAGCACCGGCUAACUCCGUGCCAGCACCCGCGGUAAUACGGAGGGUGCAAGCGUUAAUCGGAAUUACUGGGCGUAAAGCGCACGCGGGCGGUCUGUCAAGUCAGAUGUGAAAUCCCCGGGCUUAACCUGGGAACUGCAUUUGAAACUGGCAGGCUAGAGUCUUGUAGAGGGGGGUAGAAUUCCGGGUGUAGCGGUGAAAUGCGUAGAGAUCUGGARGAAUACCGGUGGCGAAGGCGGCCCCCUGGACAAAGACUGACGCUCAGGUGCGAAAGCGUGGGGAGCAAACAGGAUUAGAUACCCUGGUA